CCUACCGCAAGGUGGGAUCCGAAGGCAAGCUGAUCCUAUGAACAGGAACCGUAUACGGGGCAGCCACAUCUGGGCGAGGAGGCAAUGAGAUCCAAAGCCCGAUACUCGCCCGGAAGGCGUGGAAGUAUAUGCGGCGGGUAUAGGGGAGGAGG
rnacentral:ncRNA from 1 species